rnacentral:rRNA from 1 species
GAUGAACGCUGGCGGCGUGCUUAACACAUGCAAGUCGAACGGCAGGGCGCUGCUUUUGUUGGGUGCUCGUGUGGCGAGGGGGUGAGUAACACGUGAGUAACCUGCCCUUUACGUUGGGGUAACUUCAGGGAACUGGGGCUAAUACCGGAUAGGAGCUCCUGCUGCAUGGUGGGGGUUGGAAAGUUUAGGCUGUUGGGGAUGGACUCGCGGGUUAUCAGCUGGUUGGUGGGGUAGUGGCUUACCAAGGGUUCGACGGGUAGGCGGCACGGGAGGGUGACCGGGCACAAGGGGCCUGAGGUAGGGCCCAGAAGGGUACGGGAGGCAGCAGUGGGGAAUAUUACACAAUGGGGGCAAGUCUGAUGCAGCAGCGCCGGGUUCGGAAUGACGGCUUUUGGGGUGUAAACCGCUUUCGACUGAGACGAAGCGGGAGUGACGGUAAUGGGUAAAGAAGCACCGGCUAACUACGUG